GACGAACGCUGGCGGCGUGCUUAACACAUGCCAGUCGAACGGAAAGGCCCUGCUUUUGUGGGGUGCUCGAGUGGCGAACGGGUGAGUAACACGUGAGUAACCUGCCCUUGACUUUGGGAUAACUUCAGGAAACUGGGGCUAAUACCGGAUAGGAGCUCCUGCUGCAUGGUGGGGGUUGGAAAGUUUCGGCGGUUGGGGAUGGACUCGCGGCUUAUCAGCUUGUUGGUGGGGUAGUGGCUUACCAAGGCUUUGACGGGUAGCCGGCCUGAGAGGGUGACCGGCGACAUUGGGACUGAGAUACGGCCCAGACUCCUACGGGAGGCAGCAGUGGGGAAUAUUGCACAGUGGGCGGAAGCCUGAUGCAGCAACGCCGCGUGCGGGAUGACGGCCUUCGGGUUGUAAACCGCUUUCGCCUGUGACGAAGCGUGAGUGACGGUAAUGGGUAAAGAAGCACCGGCUAACUACGUG
rnacentral:rRNA from 1 species